rnacentral:rRNA from 1 species
UCGACGAUGAUGCCAGCUUGCUGGUGGAUUAGUGGCGAACGGGUGAGUAACACGUGAGCAACCUGCCCCUGACUUCGGGAUAACCGCGGGAAACCGUGGCUAAUACCGGAUAUGACGCACUAUCGCAUGGUGGUGUGUGGAAAGAUUUAUCGGUUGGGGAUGGGCUCGCGGCCUAUCAGCUUGUUGGUGGGGUGAUGGCCUACCAAGGCGACGACGGGUAGCCGGCCUGAGAGGGUGACCGGCCACACUGGGACUGAGACACGGCCCAGACUCCUACGGGAGGCAGCAGUGGGGAAUAUUGCACAAUGGGCGCAAGCCUGAUGCAGCGACGCCGCGUGAGGGAUGACGGCCUUCGGGUUGUAAACCUCUUUCAGUAGGGAAGAAGGCCUUCGGGUUGACGGUACCUGCAGAAGAAGCGCCGGCUAACUACGUGCCAGCAGCCGCGGUAAUACGUAGGGCGCAAGCGUUGUCCGGAAUUAUUGGGCGUAAAGAGCUCGUAGGCGGUUUGUCGCGUCUGCUGUGAAAACGCGAGGCUUAACCUCGCGCCUGCAGUGGGUACGGGCAGACUAGAGUGCGGUAGGGGAGACUGGAAUUCCUGGUGUAGCGGUGGAAUGCGCAGAUAUCAGGAGGAACACCGGUGGCGAAGGCGGGUCUC